rnacentral:lncRNA from 1 species
UUUGACAGACAAGGGGAAGUCCACAAGAAACUCCCAGUGGCACAUUGACUGGAAACACUACUGGGAUCCACGACUUAGCUUGUCUGCCCUUUCGGAGGAAGAAACUAGCGAGGCUAACUCCCUUGGAUGUGCACAGUGACUUCUGUACAUUCUAGCGGGAGGAUCCACCCUUGUGGAUUGUCGCAGCAAGCCUCAAUCAUAGACCGCGUGGAAUGUGAGAAGGGGGGUUAGGUAGAGGGCGUGGAGUGCAGUCUGCUGUCCGGAUUUGGGAGACCACGCUGAACCCAC